UGUGUACAACAUAAUGUUAAUGCAUCAGAUCCCAUUAGAACUCCAUAGUUAAGUGUGCUCGGGCUAGAGUAGUAUUGGGAUGGGUGAUCGCCUGGGAAGUCCUAGUGUUUUACAUGC
rfam:Picea glauca, whole genome shotgun sequence.